rnacentral:rRNA from 1 species
UACGUAGGGUGCGAGCGUUGUCCGGAAUUAUUGGGCGUAAAGAGCUCGUAGGCGGUCUGUCGCGUCGGUCGUGAAAACUUGGGGCUUAACCCUGAGCUUGCGGUCGAUACGGGCAUGACUGGAGUUCGGUAGGGGAGACUGGAAUUCCUGGUGUAGCGGUGAAAUGCGUAGAGAUCAUGAGGAAGACCAGUGGCGAAGGCGGGUCUCUGGACAGUUCCUGACACUGAGACACGAAGGCCAGGGGAGCAAACGGG